rnacentral:rRNA from 1 species
CCAGACUCCUACGGGAGGCAGCAGUAGGGAAUCUUCCACAAUGGGCGCAAGCCUGAUGGAGCAACACCGCGUGAGUGAAGAAGGGUUUCGGCUCGUAAAGCUCUGUUGUUGAAGAAGAACGUGCAUGAGAGUAACUGUUCAUGCAGUGACGGUAUUCAACCAGAAAGUCACGGCUAACUACGUGCCAGCAGCCGCGGUAAUACGUAGGUGGCAAGCGUUAUCCGGAUUUAUUGGGCGUAAAGAGAGUGCAGGCGGUUUCUUAAGUCUGAUGUGAAAGCCUUCGGCUCAACCGAAGAAGUGCAUCGGAAACUGGGAGACUUGAGUACAGAAGAGGGCAGUGGAACUCCAUGUGUAGCGGUGGAAUGCGUAGAUAUAUGGAAGAACACCAGUGGCGAAGGCGGCUGCCUGGUCUGUAACUGACGCUGAGACUCGAAAGCAUGGGUAGCGAACAGGAUUAGAUACCCUGGUAGUCCAUGCCGUAAACGAUGAGUGCUAGGUGUUGGAGGGUUUCCGCCCUUCAGUGCCGGAGCUAACGCAUUAAGCACUCCGCCUGGGGAGUACGACCGCAAGGUUGAAACUCAAAGGAAUUGACGGGGGCCCGCACAAG